UGAGGACAGGGCUCUAGGCCUGCGGGGCUCCGAGAGCCAUCGGCGUUUGGCUACAGCUUCUGAUUUUACCUCUGCGGUGCACACACCGCUGUGUGUGACAGCAGGCUGCGGGCCAGACUGCCUGGGCCAGGACCCCACUCCGCCUCCUCCCGCGGCCGAGCAAUCUCAGGCCGGCUGCCUCCUCCCUCUGUGCCUCAACUUCCCCAUCUGUAACAGGAGACGACAGGAAUACCUCGUCUUACAGACCUGUCGUGGUGAGAAUUACAGCAGUCAAUCCUACAGAAGGCUGGCUGCAGGGGCAAGGCAGCGAGGACAGGGACUGGGCCCGGCGUCCGCAAGGGUCCCCGCUUGGGAGUGAAUGCUCUGGGGUCACUGCCUAGCAAUCCUUAAUUUUGCCUUUUGAAUUUCUGCUUUUGGAAAUGAAUUCCCAAGGGACCUCGUUGCCAGCUCCAGGCUCGGAGGCUGCGCUCCGGAGGGGUCCGCCCCCUGCCUCCCGGGAGCGGGAGCGGGUUCCAGGCCGCAGGGUCCCCAGCCCCCGCCCCGCCCCCACCCGGCGCCCGCGGCCGCGCUCGGCUCCCAGGGGGGCUGGGGGUGGGCGCCGGAGGGUCUGGGUCCCCGGGUGCGCCGCGGCGUCUCCGAUCGAUGGGGGCGGGGCAGCGUGUGUCCCCCUGGGCUGGCAGGGCCCACCCCUUCCGGGCCCCCAGCGCGUGCCGGUGCAGAGAGAGAAAUGCCCUGGGGCCCUGGGGCCACAGGUCUGCCGCAGGUUGGGUGGUGGGCUUCCCCGCCCCCCGCCGGCGCGGUGCCUCUGUUUGGAGUGUGGGGGUGCCGGGAAGUCAGCAGCUGGGGGGGGGGGGGGGCUGUGCACCCUGACCCCUGACUGGCGGCACCUGGCAGGGUCUGCACGCCCCCCGCGAGUGUCCCUGUGCCCCGGGGAGAGUGGCAUCAAAUAGAAAAUAAAAGCACCAGGAUGAGCCCAGAGAUAGGCCACAGAAGAAAGGAAAAUACUUAAUAUUUCAGUCCCCUUUCCCUGCUUUUUCAUCAGGGGUCCCAUAUGCCCAUUUGCAUUGGGCCCUGCAAGUUUCGUCACCAGACCUGCGGAGAACGGGAGCCGGCUCGUAAUCGGAGGGCGAGAAAAGGGCGCUCACGGUGACCGAAGACCAAUUCAGUCGUGGAGAUGACAGGCAUCGUCCAGUCUGAGCCUUUCAACGACCACUUUCUGGCAAGCAGCGAGGCCCUAAGUCUUGACUCGAAUUUCAACGCGGUGUAUGUUUCUUCCGGAGCCAAAAGUUCUCGGCAACGUUUUCAAGUGUUUUGGUCUCGGGACACUUACACUCCUGAAAGUUACUCAGAGCCCCUGAGGAGAUCCGAGGAGCAUCCCCGACCCCACCUGAGAGAAGAAUGUAGGGCAGGCCCUGUGGAAAGUGGUUUGCUUUAGUCCAGCUAAGCAAUUUAAUAUCGAGACAAGGAAGAGAUUGUUGCUUGCACAUGCAGGUUUUUUCUACGGAGGCGAAAUAUGAUGAUAUUAUUUAUUCAUCAUAUGUACCCUCACCUUUUCCAAAAGGGACCGGAGGCUGCCACAAAAUGAAAUCGAGUUCUCCGACUCAAACUCGGAAUUCUCUUACUGCAGAAAAAGGCAAGGCGGGUUGGGAUUUGUUUUGUCGUCGUUGUUUGCUAUUGCUCUACUUGUCCUCAUUUUUUCUUUCGCCUUCCCAAGGCUACUUCAUCUUCCCACAUGGACAAUGCAAGAAAUGUUCGAGCGUGCACACUGUUUCGUUACCAUCAGGCAGAGGGACAUUGGUUCUUCACAUGAAAUUGUUGGCCGGCAAUAUAAAUUUACUUUCUAGUAGAUCCCCUCAAGCAGGCAUGAUAUCAUUCAUAUAUCUUAAAUAAAAGAGAGUAUCAAAAAGCUCA